rnacentral:sRNA from 1 species
ACCUCACCCACACCCACUGUUCUUGGCCAUAGCUGCCUACUCCCAUGGUCUCCUCGUCCUUGCCCUUGUGCUCGAUCGAUCACCAGCCGAGCUGAUUUUUCUCUUCUGCUUGAUCUCUACCUCUGACAUGCAUCUGAAGACCGGAGAGCAUCUGCAUCUGCCUAUAUCAUCCGGUCAUGGAUAUGGAUAGAUGACCGGCCUGUUCAUGUCUGAAGAAAAAUCAAAGGUUUGGUUUUGAUCGGCUUGAGAGCGUGCCUGGCUCCCUGUAUGCCACUCAUGUAGCCCAAUCCAUGGUGUGUUUGGAUGCUGUGGGUGGCGUGCAAGGAGCCAAGCAUGCGUGCCAUGAUCUCUCUUUCUGCCUUAAUUCAGUUUCAGACAUGUGUAGUUGGAUUUGUUUCCUCUAGGUGUUCAUGUUAAUUACAUAUUUCAUGUUGAUUUUGCCCGUUUGGAUAUGUGUUUGUCUGCUUGGUUUCGAAUUGUUUUAGCAGGGGGGCAGAACUAAUCAAGGAUACUGCAAAUCGUUGGAAUUAAUUUCUUGUUCAAUCUUGAUCCAGAUAACUAUGAGAGCUUUUAAUCACAACGAGAAAAGGUAAUCUCUCUCUAUCAGCUGCCCCUUUUUCUUCUACUAGUUUAUAUUUAGAUCGCAUUCAUACUCUUGACUAGCUCGCUGCAGUUUAUUUGCAUAUGUUUUCCCAGCAAGAUCUAAUUAGAUACUUAGAUGAGAUUUGGACUGUAUGGUAAUUUUGUUACUUCUCCUUGCGCAUUUGUAUUUCUGUUUAUUUGUAUUUAUUCUCUGCUAGUACUGGAGUACUUGUUAUGUUGCGUGUAAUUAAUUAAGCAAUGUUAAUUAAGUAAAUUGUUAAUGUACAUACAUACAUGAGGUCAUUUCUUGGUUUUCGUCUUGUACUUUAGUUCUUGAAUUGUUCACUGGGCUGGCACUUAGAAAAAGCAUAACGAUUUAGUUUAAUUGAGAAAUGCCUAUGGGUCUUCCCGGCUAGCUCCAUAAGGUUGUCGGCUAGAUGACCUGGAUUCGAAGCUUCACAACUUCUAAUUAUUUGAUAUUAGGUCAUUCCCUAAUAUUCACGUCUUUUUAUUUAGUUUAAUUCUUUUUUCAAAGAAAAAACUGACACGUAUUUAAAUUUCUGCUAGAAAUGGCCAUCUGUGGGAUAGGGAUAGAAAGCUUCAGUUACUAGUACACACUAGCUAGUUGUUUGUUUGAUUUGGCCAAGAAAUCUGAAGAGAUAUGGAUUGUGUUCUUUGAAAUUCAUUACCUUUCUUCACUGUACUUAUCGUGUGCGGUCAUCCAUGCUUGGACGAAUUUCUUCUCUCUUUCUUAAGAUCAAAGAUUAAGCACCCAUCAUAUUGUGCCUUAAGUACGUAAUCCAAUAAAGUUCAACAUUAGGUUUGGCUCCUUAAUUUGUACACUUAAUUAUUACAUAUGCGCUUCCAAUUUUUAGAUGAAUAAUGAUUCUUUUGCAGCAAGAUAAACUUAAACACACACAGGUGAAACUUUUAGAUGGAAGGUACACUUGCUCUGACGGUAGCAAAAGUUGAUCAUGCCCUACUUUAGCUGUAACAUGAGACAUGUCAGCAUAUGCUUACAUGCAUGAAUCAGCAGGGCUACAGUUUUAUUAUUUGCUUUGACAGCUUUCUCUCAACAAUCAUUCUCAUUAUAUUUUUUAUCCUAGGCUCCUUAGGAACAUAGUAAUUUUACAGGAUUUUUGCUGAAAUCGAUCAGUUCAGUUCCCGCAAAAUUCCACUGAAAAUUAAUCCUCUACUCCAAAGGCCUCUCUCUCUCUCUCUCUCUCUCUCACGUAGGAUUUGCCACUGAGGUCUCAGCAUCAAUGGUGGCAAAUUCUAGGUUUUGAUUAAUUUUUUAGAUAAUGAGGUUUUGAUUAAUUAGAAAACUAUGCAGUGCAUUGUAUCAGAAUGACAGAUAUAACAUCAAUUCAUGUAGAUAACUAAAGAACCUCUUAUAUAUCUAUCUCUGGGGUAGUACUAGUGAUUUAAGUAGUACUGUAAUCGGGCUUUGCUGAUGCGAACUUCCUCUGAAACUUUUGCUAGCUAAAACCAAAAUGCGGGACUGAUGAUCAGCAUGGAGAGCAGCCUCAAUUUAUUUGUAGACGCUCAAGAUUACUUGCAGAUCUGUCAGAAGUAAUACUGCCACAAUGAGGAUGUUUUAUGGUUAUAUAGGCUAAAAUAUAUAUGAGUAAUAUUCCAUGCAUGUCUAUCAGCAUUGUAACUAGCUAUACAGGAUAAAAAUUCAC